CCCGCCCGCCUCUGCUGAAAUUCCCAAAUAAACAGCAUCUGACUGUGGCAUCACCGGAUGAUUAAACAUUCACAAAAACACCAACCCUGUCAUUACACAACAAAUUACAUCACUCGUUUUAGGCACUCUCCAGCUGCAUCUGCCCCUCUCUCUCACACUCACACUCACACUCACUCACACACACACACACACACACACACACACAUACACAUACAGACACACACAUUUGUAUUAUAUCAUCUCUGUCAGCAGCCUGCUAGGGAAAAAAAUUACUAGUAACUUAAAGGUAGAGCCUGAUUCUGGCAAAAGGUUGUUCAUAUUUGAGCUCAACGGCCAAUCAAACUGAAACACUCAGUGUGUUUACAUGAUGGUAUAAUUCGAAUCUUUGCUUAGUCGGACUAUGCUUUCUUUCGAGGGUAGGUGCUAUUAUCCCAAUAUACAUGGCAGUGAAUAAAUCGAAUCAUUGGCCGAAAGCAUGUCAUAUCCGAUACGAUAGGUGGCGCUGUUUUCAUUACAACUAGUGGUGAUACAGCCCUUUCCGCUUGACCUCUUCACCACCACCAUUAACAACAACAGUUGAUUGAGCAUGAAUCGCGUCUGUUCAUCGGUCCAGAAAUGCGUGUUGCCUCUUGGGUUGUUUGUUUGUUUGUUUGUUUGUUUCUGCCGGGCCGAUGUGUUUAUAAGUUACAUUAUUCAAAGGUGAAAGAUAAAAGGCGAGAGAAACGCACGCACAUUCAGACACGCGCGCAAAUAAUGGGUUACAGCCUAAACGCAUUGCCCUUCUGCCAGUUGCAUCAAAUUGUUUUAGUACUUCUUCGCUGUCGAUUUCCAAAUCUGUGUGAAUAUUCAUGAGAGCAAGUCCAGUCAGUCUUUUCGUAGAUAGAUACAAGACCUUCAGGACGCAAUGAAUGUUUGGGUAGAAAUUUGCCGAACUUUCCAGGGCUUGAUAAAGUUCACUGCGUAACUCAUUUAGCUGUUUCCAGCUCUGUAUCUGCAUCGUCAACGCUGGGCAUUAGUUGUCUGUACUCCGAUUUUAUAGUUUCCCCAUUUUAAUAAAUAUGCGUUCAUGAUAUAUUUUUUUUUUUCUUCUCGCGUAGCAGAAGGUACGCACAAUGCGUACGGCUGCAUGCGCCACUGGAACUCUGUGCAAUUAAUACAAUACAUAAUAGGCUAAUUGAUACAAUAUCUCCUCGUUUGAGUGUGGUUGUUUGAGUGCAAUGGGAGUGUAUGAUCGAUGUUGUCUAUAAAGGUAUUUAGGUAAAGGUAUUUACGGGAAAAUAUCUCGAUCCAUCUGUCACGUCUCUGUCUUUAGAGGGCAGCGCCAAAUAACCGAACAAAACUCAACUCACGCUUGCCUCACGGGCACAAUACCACAUUUCAUCAUAUUUGAUAAAAUGAAGGACAAAUUAGUUGUGAAUAGUAUCACCGAGUUUGACAGGUAUUGGUCAGGGGAGACGGCCCAGUGUUCCGAAAGCCCGAUAUUCCGAAAUCUCAAUAUUCCGAAAAAUAGUCCCCCUGGCAAAAUUUAGAAAUAUUUUAAGUGGCACAAAACACUCAAAGCAUUUCGUUUGCACAGCAGAGCGGUGACGCUCACCGGGCUAUCACGCAUAUAACUUUUCCUAGGCAAUAUUUGUUAACUUAGCCUACUCUGGUUUUGAAUAUGGGGUAGGCUACCACUCAUGCGAAGGAAAUCACCGGCAGAUUGUCGCAGGACAUUACGCAGAUCUUGUCAAGCACUGACAAAGCAUGCAUGCGUUGGCAAUCAUACAAAUAUUUUUGUAUCAUCGCGAUGCAAAUGCAUGUGUGUAUAAUAAUAUUCUGAAUUCAAGUUAAUGCUUGUGAAAUAAAGGCAUUUAUAUGUUUAUGGUUUUGUGUUUCAUUGGGAUGUGCAUGUGGGCAAUAGUGGUUCACGUUGCUGUACUCACAAUUUCGGAACAGCGGGCUGUCGGAAAAAUGGGCUUUCGGAACAUUGCCAUGGAACCUUGGUCAGGUAAUUGCCGAGUGACAGCUGAUUUGACAGUACUGCUGUUGUUUUAAGCAAAUAAAAUGUGGAACGUCCUUAUACGUGUUUAAGGAGGGGUUGUAAAGGUGCUCAUAUCUUCGGACCUCUUCUGUUAUGUUUGUUCAUAAUCAACAAGAAUAAGCUUGUGAGACAGUCUGCAGGAUAUUCAUAAAAAACCGUGUCAUUAGUAUGAACAGUUGAGACAACUUAUCCCUCUUUCGUCUUCCGGGUCACGACCUGGCAGGGAGAGAGGGAGCAUGCGCAAAGACGCAAAGUCCAGUUCCUUAUCCAAUUCACCGUUACAUGCCGCAAUAGUUGAACUAUCAACUGGAUCUGAUCGAGUUAUCCAGGGGUGUUAGUCCGACUAUGUGCGGUCCGACUACGAUCCGACUAAGGUGCUUACAUGAAACGGAUAAUGCGAUUUCAGUCCGACUAAGGCAGUUAUUCGAAUCCAUGUAACCACGGUCACUGACUUCCGUGCUCCUGGCGCAUUGAGUUGAUUGGCUGGUAUUGUUUAUGGCUUGGUUCGAGUCACUGUGUUUGUUUCCCAUUUACACAGCCAGGACUGUGUACAGACAGUUUUUUGAGUGCACACACACUGAACCGACAGCUAGAUGACCGUGACCUAGAUGACUGUAAAUCGACAAAAAGUGUUUUGGAUUAGAAUCACAGACUGUACCUUUAACUCCAUGCACAUUGAGAUGGAAGUGCCAACAGAGAAGGAUCUGCCAUUGUGUGUGCUGUUUGAGAGGCACAAUGUAAAAACAAGGCGUGCAGACACUUCCUCAAUAUGGUCUGCUAUAUGUAGCACAACAGUCAGCAACAAGGGCUUAAGAGAGGGAGAAGAGCAACAGUGGAGUUGCUGGGGGCGUUUAGGGUGGGGUUGGGAGUAGUGGUGGUGGAGGGCGGUGGGGAGGGCUGUGGUGUGCUGGGAUUUCUCCCAGAGGAGUGUGAGCUCGCGCU
ensembl:lncRNA